UACGAAGGGGGCUAGCGUUGCUCGGAAUUACUGGGCGUAAAGGGCGCGUAGGCGGACAGUUUAGUCAGAGGUGAAAGCCCAGGGCUCAACCUUGGAACUGCCUUUGAUACUGGCUGUCUUGAAUUCGGGAGAGGUGAGUGGAAUGCCGAGUGUAGAGGUGAAAUUCGUAGAUAUUCGGCGGAACACCAGUGGCGAAGGCGACUCACUGGCCCGAUACUGACGCUGAGGCGCGAAAGCGUGGGGAGCAAACAGG
rnacentral:rRNA from 1 species